rnacentral:rRNA from 1 species
CACGGGUGAGUAACACGUAUCCAACCUGCCUCAUACUCGGGGAUAGCCUUUCGAAAGAAAGAUUAAUAUCCGAUAGCAUAUAUUUCCCGCAUGGGUUUUAUAUUAAAGAAAUUCGGUAUGAGAUGGGGAUGCGUUCCAUUAGUUUGUUGGGGGGGUAACGGCCCACCAAGACUACGAUGGAUAGGGGUUCUGAGAGGAAGGUCCCCCACAUUGGAACUGAGACACGGUCCAAACUCCUACGGGAGGCAGCAGUGAGGAAUAUUGGUCAAUGGACGCGAGUCUGAACCAGCCAAGUAGCGUGAAGGAUGACUGCCCUAUGGGUUGUAAACUUCUUUUAUAUGGGAAUAAAGUUGUCCACGUGUGGAUUUUUGUAUGUACCAUAUGAAUAAGGAUCGGCUAACUCCGUGCCAGCAGCCGCGGUAAUACGGAGGAUCCGAGCGUUAUCCGGAUUUAUUGGGUUUAAAGGGAGCGUAGGCGGAUUGUUAAGUCAGUUGUGAAAGUUUGCGGCUCAACCGUAAAAUUGCAGUUGAUACUGGCAGUCUUGAGUGCAGUAGAGGUGGGCGGAAUUCGUGGUGUAGCGGUGAAAUGCUU